ACGCUCGACACCUAAGGCAGCAGUCGGGAAUAUUGCGCAAUGGAGGAAACUCUGACGCAGUGACGCCGCGUAUAGGAAGAAGGUUUUCGGAUUGUAAACUAUUGUCGUUAGGGAAGAUACAAGACAGUACCUAAGGAGGAAGCACCGGCUAACUAUGUGGCAGCAGCCGCGGUAAUCUGAGCGGGCUGGCAAGGC
rnacentral:rRNA from 1 species